rnacentral:rRNA from 1 species
GACGAACGCUGGCGGCGUGCUUAACACAUGCAAGUCGAACGGGAUUUAGUAGACAGAAGCUUCGGUGGAAGAUUACUAAUGAGAGUGGCGAACGGGUGAGUAACGCGUGAGCAACCUGCCUAUGACAGUGGGAUAGCCUCGGGAAACCGGGAUUAAUACCGCAUAAAAUCGUAGAAACACAUGUUUUAACGGUCAAAGAAUUAUCGGUCAUAGAUGGGCUCGCGUCUGAUUAGCUAGUUGGUGAGAUAACAGCCCACCAAGGCGACGAUCAGUAGCCGGUCUGAGAGGAUGAACGGCCACAUUGGAACUGAGACACGGUCCAAACUCCUACGGAAGGCAGCAGUGGGGAAUAUUGCACAAUGGGGGAAACCCUGAUGCAGCGACGCCGCGUGAACGAAGAAGGUAUUCGUAUCGUAAAGUUCUGUCCUAUGGGAAGAUAAUGACAGUACCAUAGAAGAAAGCUCCGGCUAAAUACGUGCCAGCAGCCGCGGUAAUACGUAUGGAGCGAGCGUUGUCCGGAAUUAUUGGGCGUAAAGGGUACGCAGGCGGUUUAAUAAGUCGAAUGUUAAAGAUCGGGGCUCAACCCCGUAAAGCAUUGGAAACUGAUAAACUUGAGUAGUGGAGAGGAAAGUGGAAUUCCUAGUGUAGUGGUGAAAUACGUAGAUAUUAGGAGGAAUACCAGUAGCGAAGGCGACUUUCUGGACACAAACUGACGCUGAGGUACGAAAGCGUGGGGAGCAAACAGG